rnacentral:tRNA from 1 species
AAGAACUUAGGUUAAUUAAACCGGGGGCCUUCAAAGCCCCAAACAAGGAACGUACCCCCUUAGUUUUUG